GAACGGUGGAAGAAAAAACUUGAAUUUGGGGAAGUUGCUGGACUGAGAGUGGAUCUUUCAUUCAUUUCUCAUUUUUGUGAUUGGUUUACAAAGGUCAGGUCAGAGUUAAGAAGCAGGCUUAUAAUAUGCCUAUGGUCCUUUUGCCCCUAUUUUUUCGUGAAACCAUGGCUUCGCACAUCUUCUCCCUUCUUCUUAUGUUCUUCUUCGUCACUCUCGUCUCUGCUUCUUCCCCCGACACUUCCCAACUAUUCCGGAGCUGGUGUGACCACCACGGCAAGACAUACUCCUCCGACGAAGAGAGAAGCUACCGCCUCAAGGUUUUCCUGGACAACUAUGACUAUGUCCAGCGUCACAACCAGAUGGCUAAUUCCCCUUAUACCCUCUCCCUCAACGCCUUCGCCGAUCUUACCCACCAAGAACUCAAGGCCUCUCAUCUUGGCGCUCUUUCCUCUUCCUUCCUCAGAUUCAAGAAUCGUCAAGAUCACCAGCCCCGCUAUCACAAUGACAAUGACAAUAAUAUCCUCCGUCAGGUUCCUUCUUCAAUUGAUUGGAGAAAUGAAGGGGCGGUUACUCCCGUCAAAAACCAAGGAAGCUGCGGGGCUUGUUGGGCGUUCUCUGCAACAGGAGCUAUUGAAGGUAUAAAUAAGAUUGUGACAGGGACCCUUGAAAGCCUUUCUGAACAAGAACUGGUUGAUUGUGAUAAAAAAUACAACAGCGGCUGUGAAGGUGGUCUCAUGGACUAUGCUUAUCAAUUUGUGAUUGAUAACCACGGAAUCGACACUGAGAGCGAUUAUCCAUUCCUUGCUCAUGAUGCCGCUUGCAACAAGAACAAGAUGAAGAGGCGUGUUGUUACAAUUGAUGGUUAUACUGAUGUGCUCCCAAGUAAUGAGAAGAAGCUCCUAGAGGCUGUUGCAACCCAGCCUGUAAGUGUAGGCAUAUGUGGCAGUGCUAGGGCUUUUCAGUUAUACUCUCAGGGUAUCUUCACCGGACCAUGUUCAACUGCUUUGGAUCAUGCAGUGUUGAUUGUAGGGUAUGGUUCAGAGAACGGAGUAGAUUAUUGGAUUGUUAAGAACUCGUGGGGAACAUCAUGGGGAAUGAAUGGUUACAUACACAUGGUGCGAAACAACGGUUCUCAAGGGAUAUGCGGCAUCAACAUGCUAGCUUCGUAUCCAACUAAGACGACGCCUAAUCCUCCUCCUCCGCCACCACCAGGUCCUACAAAAUGUAAUCUGUUUACUUACUGUCCAGCAGCGGAAACCUGUUGCUGCUCAUGGCGUGUUCUUGGGUUGUGCUUAUCAUACAAAUGCUGUGGGUUAGACUCUGCUGUGUGCUGUAAGGACAAUAGCCAUUGUUGCCCUCAGGAUUAUCCUAUUUGUGAUAUAAGAAACGCUCAAUGUCUUAAGAGAGUUUCGAAUGGGACAACAACGAUGGCAUAUGAGAACAAAGACUCUAUCCGUAGGUCAAGAGGUUGGAGCUCUGGUUAAGGGUUAAUGUUCUAUGUCAUCCAUUUGUAUCAUUAAGUCAUUUUAGUUCCUAUCUUGUUUGUAUCUAAGGAGUCAUUAUUGUUAUACUAUGUAGCAGAUUUUUAGGGCUUGGAAGGAAACACAAUUAUUUUACAAAUGGAUGAUAUGGAUAUAGCUAUUGCUUUCCCAAUCUGAAUGUAAUACUGGAUAAAGUAAAUUAUCUUUUGCAGGUAUCUACCCUUGGUGUUAUUUUUCUUGCCGAAGUAUAAGAGACAAACUCGAUUCCCUCUAAGACGAGAUAUACCUCGGAGCUCUUACCAUAUAAGAACAACUUGGAUAAAUUAAAGCAAUUGUUCUUCGUCUUGGUGAAAAUACAUGCAGGGAGGUAAUUCUUGUGAGUAUAAGACAUUAUACUUGCCCUUACAAUCCCUUUUAAUUGGUAAUAUGUCAUAACUCAUACAGUAAACUAAAUGCAAGUUGCCAAAAUUCUGUA